UGGGGAAUAUUGGACAAUGGGCGCAAGCCUGAUCCAGCCAUGCCGCGUGAGUGAUGAAGGCCUUAGGGUUGUAAAGCUCUUUCAGUAGGGAAGAUAAUGACGGUACCUACAGAAGAAGCCCCGGCUAACUUCGUGCCAGCAGCCGCGGUAAUACGAAGGGGGCUAGCGUUGUUCGGAUUUACUGGGCGUAAAGCGCACGUAGGCGGUUUGUUAAGUCAGGGGUGAAAUCCUGGAGCUCAACUCCAGAACUGCCCUUGAUACUGGCAAGCUAGAGUCCGGAAGAGGUAAGUGGAACUCCUAGUGUAGAGGUGGAAUUCGUAGAUAUUAGGAAGAACACCAGUGGCGAAGGCGGCUUACUGGUCCGGAACUGACGCUGAGGUGCGAAAGCGUGGGGAGCAAACA
rnacentral:rRNA from 1 species